rnacentral:rRNA from 1 species
GACGAACGCUGGCGGCGUGCUUAACACAUGCAAGUCGAACGAAGAGCGAUGGAAGCUUGCUUCUAUCAAUCUUAGUGGCGAACGGGUGAGUAACGCGUAAUCAACCUGCCCUUCAGAGGGGGACAACAGUUGGAAACGACUGCUAAUACCGCAUACGAUCUAAUCUCGGCAUCGAGGAUAGAUGAAAGGUGGCCUCUACAUGUAAGCUAUCACUGAAGGAGGGGAUUGCGUCUGAUUAGCUAGUUGGAGGGGUAAUGGCCCACCAAGGCGAUGAUCAGUAGCCGGUCGGAGAGGAGGGACGGCCACAUUGGGAGGUGGACACGGCCCAGACUCCUACGGGAGGCAGCAGUGGGGAAUCUUCCGCAAUGGACGAAAGUCUGACGGAGCAACGCCGCGUGUGUGAUGACGGCCUUCGGGUUGUAAAGCUCUGUUAAUCGGUACGAAAGGCCUUCGUGCGAAUAGUGAGAAGGAUUGACGGUACCGGAAUAGAAAGCCACGGCUAACUACGUG